rnacentral:lncRNA from 1 species
CGCGCACGCAAUUAGACCCCCGCCGUGAGAUGCGUCGGUGGCUGUGAGGCAGGUGGGACUUGCCUGGGAGGCUGAAAGGGCUUCCGGACGCAUAAAUCGCACCAGGCGCCGUCGUACGCCGGACCAACGAUGCAUCAUAACAUUAACUAGUUGUUUGAAGGGCGGCAGGAAUAGGAGCAUCCUCACGCGCACGCAAUUAGACCUCCGCCGUGAGAUGCGUCGGUGGCUGUGAGGCAGGUGGGGACAUGCCUGGAGGCUGAAAGGGCUUCCGGACGCAUAAAUCGCAUCAGGCGUCGUCGUACGCCGGACCAACGAUACAUCAUAACAUUUCUAGUUGUUAGACAGGCGGCAGGAAUAGGAGCAUCCUCACGCGCACGCAAUUAGACCCCCGCCGUGAGAUGCGUCGGUGGCUGUGAGGCAGGUGGGACAUGCCUGGGAGGCUGAAAGGGCUUCCGGACGCAUAAAUCGCACCAGGCGCCGUCGUACGCCGGACCAACGAUACAUCAUAACAUUUCUAGUUGUUAGGAAGGCGGCAGGAAUAGGAGCAUCCUCACGCGCACGCAAUUAGACCCCCGCCGUGAGAUGCGUCGGUGGCUGUGAGGCAGGUGGGGACAUGCCUUGGAGGCUGAAAGGGCUUCCGGACGCAUAAAUCGCAUCAGGCGCCGUCGUACGCCGGACCAACGAUGCAUCAUAACAUUUCUAGUUGUUAGACAGGCGGCAGGAAGAGGAGCAUCCUCACGCGCACGCAAUUAGACCCCCGCCGUGAGAUGCGUCGGUGGCUGUGAGGCAGGUGGGACAUGCCUGGGAGGCUGAAAGGGCUUCCGGACGCAUAAAUCGCACCAGGCGCCGUCGUACGCCGGACCAACGAUGCAUCAUAACAUUAACUAGUUGUUAGGAAGGCGGCAGGAAUAGGAGCAUCCUCACGCGCACGCAAUUAGACCCCCGCCGUGAGAUGCGUCGGUGGCUGUGAGGCAGGUGGGGACAUGCCUUGGAGGCUGAAAGGGCUUCCGGACGCAUAAAUCGCAUCAGGCGCCGUCGUACGCCGGACCAACGAUGCAUCAUAACAUUAACUAGUUGUUAGAAAGGCGGCAGGAAUAGGAGCAUCCAUACGCGCACGCAAUUAGACCCCCGCCGUGAGAUGCGUCGGUGGCUGUGAGGCAGGUGGGGACAUGCCUGGAGGCUGAAAGGGCUUCCGGACGCAUAAAUCGCAUCAGGCGUCGUCGUACGCCGGACCAACGAUACAUCAUAACAUUUCUAGUUGUUAGAAAGGCGGCGGGGAAAGGAACAUCCAUACGCGCACGCAAUUAGACCCCCGCCGUGAGAUGCGUCGGUGGCUGUGAGGCAGGUGGGGACAUGCCUGGGAGGCUG